GUGAAUGUUGGGUUAAGUCCCGCAACGAGCGCAACCCUUGCCAUUAGUUGCUACGAAAGGGCACUCUAAUGGGACUGCCGGUGACAAACCGGAGGAAGGUGGGGAUGACGUCAAGUCCUCAUGGCCCUUAUAGGUGGGGCUACACACGUCAUACAAUGGCCGGUACAGAGGGUAGCCAACCCGCGAGGGGGAGCCAAUCCCACAAAGCCGGUCGUAGUCCGGAUCGCAGUCUGCAACUCGACUGCGUGAAGUCGGAAUCGCUAGUAAUCGCGGAUCAGCAUGUCGCGGUGAAUACGUUCCCGGGUCUU
rnacentral:rRNA from 1 species